rnacentral:rRNA from 1 species
CCUACGGGAGGCAGCAGUGGGGAAUAUUGGACAAUGGGCGAAAGCCUGAUCCAGCCAUGCCGCGUGUGUGAAGAAGGCCUUCGGGUUGUAAAGCACUUUCAGUGGGGAAGAAAGCCUUGGGGCUAAUACCCUCGAGGAAGGACAUCACCCACAGAAGAAGCACCGACUAACUCCGUGCCAGCAGCCGCGGUAAUACGGAGGGUGCGAGCGUUAAUCGGAAUUACUGGGCGUAAAGCGCGCGUAGGCGGUCUGAUAAGCCGGUUGUGAAAGCCCCGGGCUCAACCUGGGAACGGCAUCCGGAACUGUCAGGCUAGAGUGCAGGAGAGGAAGGUAGAAUUCCCGGUGUAGCGGUGAAAUGCGUAGAGAUCGGGAGGAAUACCAGUGGCGAAGGCGGCCUUCUGGACUGACACUGACGCUGAGGUGCGAAAGCGUGGGUAGCAAACAGGAUUAGAUACCCCGGUAGUC